UAGUCCACGCCCUAAACGAUGUUCACUCGAUAUGUGUAUUAUAUGCGUGUCCAAGCGAAAGCAUUAAGUGAACCACCUAGGGAGUACGGCCGCAAGGUUAAAACUCAAAGGAAUUGACGGGGACCCGCACAAGCGGUGGAGCAUGUGGUUUAAUUCGAGGCAACGCGAAGAACCUUACCAGUCCUUGACAUCCUGAUCGCGAUUAGUAGAAGAUUACUUUUCUUCGGUUCGGCCGGAUCAGUGACAGGUGCUGCAUGGUUGUCGUCAGCUCGUGUCGUGAGAUGUUGGGUUAAGUCCCGCAACGAGCGCAACCCUUCACCCUCUGUUGACCAGCACGUAAAGGUGGGAACUCUGAGGGAACUGCCGGUGUCAAACCGGAGGAAGGCGGGGAUGACGUCAAAUCAGCACGGCCCUUAUGGACUGGGCCACACACGUAGCUACAAUGGGUACUACAGUGGGCAGCAAUCGCGCGAGCGUGAGCUAAUCUCCAAAAGUGCCCUCAGUUCGGAUUG
rnacentral:rRNA from 1 species